rnacentral:misc_RNA from 1 species
UGAUUGUCUUCUCUAUCUUGGUCUGUCUCUUCUCGCCUGCUCUUUUGCUGCUUAACGAGCAACGCUGACCAACAGAAAAAUCUUCUGCUCUCUCAACACCNNNNNNNNNNNCUUUGUUCAACUUGCCCUAAAUCUGAAAAAAACCUGCUCUUGGUAUAAGUCCGUCCCAUUGUUUUCCCAAUGAGUUAUAACAUUGAACUCAUCUUCAGGUUCUUCUNNNNCCCAUGAUAUGAAAGCAAAACUGUCCUUCUUCUGAGUAUCCCUCUCAUGGGGAGUCCAGGAUGAUUCCUCUUGAGAUUCAUUAGAAGGAGAAGACGCAAGAUUCCGUAUUUUUUCUUUAUUUUGCCUUCUAUCUGAAGGUUCCAUUUGCUCACUGACUUUAUCAUCUAGCUCUUUGUCCAUAAUCACAUGAAAACUCUUGCAAGUCUGUUGUAUGAUGAUGGACAACAUAUCCCAGAACUGCUUUUGCU